UAGUUAUAUAACAUUAUAUAUGGAAGAUGGGUAAUUGUGCGCAUUUUAAAAUACUUGCGCACAGUUGUCCGCCGCGACCUGACUCGGUACGAAAUACGAUUACUUCAACAAUUCCUAACCAAACUUAAUAAAUAACAGCUC